CUUCAUGCGCGGCGGGGGGUUCGAUUUCUGGUCGAUUUUUGCCGAAAAUCGACCAGAAAUCGAACCCCCUACGCCGCGCAUGAAG
rfam:Heligmosomoides polygyrus genome assembly, scaffold: HPBE_scaffold0004008